GACGAACGCUGGCGGCGUGCUUAACACAUGCAAGUCGAGCGGAGCGGAGAACGGGUGAGUAGCGCGUGAGUAACUGCACCCCUCUCAGGGAUGACAGGUGGAAACGGCUACUAAUACCGGAUAGUGGGGGAUGGCUCGCGUCCUAUAAGCUUGUUGGGGGGGUAGUGGCCUACCAAGGCGACGACGGGUAGCCGGCCUGAGAGGGCGGACGGCCAAAUUGGGCUGAGAUACGGCGCAAACUCCUACGGGAGGCAGCAGGGGGGAAUAUUGCACAAUGGUGGAAACCCGGAUGCAGAAACGCCGCGGGCGGGAUGACGGCCUUCGGGUUGUAACCCGAUUUAAGCCAUGACGCGGUAUUGGCAGAAGAAGCACCGGCUAACUACGUGCCAGCAGCCGCGGUAAUUC
rnacentral:rRNA from 1 species